UUUUGGGUUUUAGUUUGAAAGUGAUAGAGUUUACAUUUCUCAUUUAACUUUCAACAAAUUGUCCAGCAGUACCCCCAGACAAGCUAGACAAAAUUUUCCUCUUUUCAGCUUCUUUAGUCCUUCAGGAAACUCUGCACCUCUGUCAGCCUGUUACUACUUUCCAUAUUUACCCAUAGCUUUGUUUCUGUUCAUGGGGUCAAGUUAUUGGUGAAAGUGGCUCAUUUGAUGAUUAUGGCAUAGGUUUUAUAAGCUCUUGUUGUUCGCUUGCUUUUAAGAUAAAACAGGUUUGUCUGAAGGUAACUUUCUAGAACUGUCAUAUGCCAUAGUUGCAUUUAUGAUGCAACUUUUCUAAGUCCAGAUUUACUUUUCAAUAGCCAUGCAAGCUUGCUAAAAGUCCUAACAUCCAGUACAGCAUCCUUUUUGUGUAUUGGCUACUUCCAUGAAAUUUUUGUACAUCAUCGGUUAUAAUUUAAUAAAAUGAAGUAACUGAACUAAAUAUGCAAGUUACUCAUAAAGGAAUAUAUCUUUAACCCUUAUUACCAUUAAUAGCUUUGACCUUUAUUGCCAUUAGAAUCCCUGGAUAGUUGUCUUGAGAGUGGGUGAAGGAUGCAGUUCCUUUUUGCACUUUUCCAACAAGUUGGAAUUGCUGUCUUACUGUCCUUGAAAUGGAUGACUUUAGUGGGCCUCAUCUCUGAGGUGAUGAAAGCAUGACUUCCUUGCUAGUCUUACUCAGUUCCAAAUGUAUAUGUCAUGAUCUCUUAGUCUUUUGAACUGAAUACUCUAGUGCGCAGGGUGGAGGGGUGAAAGGGAAGGAAUCUGUUCAGUUACUCAACGUCAGACUCCCCACAGUAUCUACACACUGUGAUAAUGUUGCUACGCAUCUCACAUUUAAACAGUAAGCAAAGGUAAGAAGGAAACAUACAAGGACGUGCUAAUAAUGACAUUUCCAACUGAGACCAAAAUCUUAACUAGUAAUGCCCAUGUCUAAACUAGUACGAAGCAAGAGCGGGGCUUCAUGCAGAAAAUUAGGAGCUACAGACACAGAUGCUGAGUCUGCAGAGCAUAAAGGUGCAGGCUUGCGCUGAAGAAUCCUUCCCUAUGUGUAGUUACCCAUUAUUCUCCUGUAGAAUGCUGCUGCUACUAACUGUAAAGUCUGCCUGUGACACUCAUCUUCACCUGAUGAUUUUAUAAAGGCUAGAACCAUUUAUUUUUACUUUGACAAAAUCAUCAUGUAAUUAAUUGCUGAAGUAUUUCUGUGAGUAAAAAGUUUUUAAAACACCACUAAAACCCAUAAAACCAAAACCCAAACCAACCACAUUGACUUUUGCAGCUGAGAAUAUCUUCCUUCUAAAGAGUAUACUUUUUAGCAUUGAACAAUUAAACUACUUACCGUGAAUUACUGUGAACUGGAUCAUAAUAGCUUUACAAAGUAAGUUCUUAGUAUAUAAAUUAAAACCAAGGUAGUAUAUUCUAGAUUAGCUUUGCUUUUUUCUCAGCACUGUAAAGAUUCUAGUGUUUUGCUUAGAGUUUUCUUUGUCAUCCAAGACAGUGAUUGUGAGUGGUAACUUCUUCCAGUUCUUCACAUGCACAUUUUCUUGAGAAUCCUUGAGAUAAAGCUUAAAUCCUUGAGAUAAAGUGUAAAGUGAGACACUGGGAAGUGAAAGAAUCCUGACCACAGCACAGAGUUAAAAGUAUUUUGUAAAUCCAGGGCUGGAGAGUGCCCUGCAUUGGGCUCACAAAGAGCAGUGUUUGAGCAGAGACUUCUGCUAUAAAUGUGGUGCCUGUUGCUUUUACAAGUGCAAGUGAAAUCCUAGAUACCUGUUACGUGUUGGGGCUUGGUGUUUUCAGAUCUUAAAAGGAAAUAUAAAAGAACUUCUAAAUAGCUAAACAGUUGUUGCCACUCUGAUACCACUGAGUCUUUGCUCUAGUUAACUUAUUUAAAUAUUACUCUUUCUCUAUUGGCUCUACUUUGACCUUAUUUAAAUUGAA